AUUAUUAUAUUUAAUUAAUUCGAAUUGACCAAGUCAACUUGACUAGUCAAAAGGGCAGGUGUGGCCCACAUGUCAUAUACUAUUCACCUAAACAAAUAAAUAAACCUAACUUAUUAAAGGAGGCGUACAUGUCAUCUACUAAUAGACAACUUAGAACUAAACUAGUACUACUAUUAAGCCUAGCCUAAUUAAACCAAUGGCCGGCCGGCGGCAUAGCCAGCCGUGUCUGUACUCACGCACGUACACACUACACACGCACAAUGGCCAUGGCCACAACCAGUGCAGCCGCAUGAGCAAGUAGCAGCAGCAAUUAGAGUAGCAGCAGCACUAGCUAGUGGGAUUGGAGGAGCGGCAGCAGCACUAAACAGCAGCGGCGCCGGCGCAACAGCAAGCAGUGACGGGAGCAGGGCGCAGCAGCGCCCUGCCAGCAGCAGCAAGCCGAGGCCAUGCGUGGGCGUGCACCACAAUAGCAUGCCGCGACGAGGCCACGCAUGGGCGUGCGCGCACAGCAGCAAUAGCGACAGGGCAGGAGCAGCAACUACACACACACACAUACACAUACACGGGGGUUCGGGCGAUGGCGAACAACGGCGUAAAGAGACACGGAUUGAAGGGGGAAAGGGGUGGAAUCGGCCGAGGAGCUCACCACUAAGCUCUGAGACGUGGAUUCGCGGCGCGGGGGCGACCGGAUGCGACGAGCUCGACGAUGAGAGACGACGGCCGUGGCGGAAAAUCAGCUCGAUCCCGAGCGUAUAGUGCGGCUCCGGUCGAACGGACGCACGGAGAUGACGGAGUCGGUGACUAGGAAGUCCCUGGACAAGCUCCCGUUCGCCGGGAAGGUCAGUGGCCACGGGGACGGCGACAGCGCAUCGACGGUAGCUCGGGCAUGAGGUUCUCAGGAGAAACAUGAGUGGGAGAGGGGAUAUUUGUGGGCUAGGGUUUGUCUACAGCGACGAGGGGGAUCUUAUCCUUCUCGAUGUGUUGUGGAUGCUCGAUACGAGCUAAUCGGGCGUGUGGACGAGCGUGCCACGCCAUGGCACUGCCUCCUCUUGUAGCGUGAGGAAGGAGAAGGCCCUGCCGGGCUGGGCCAAAGUGCACUGUGGCACUUAGGCCUAGUUGCGCACAGUGGCAGGCCUUUUAUUUUCAUCCUAUUCUGUUUUUUUAUUCCUUGUCUGUUUCGCAUCUAGUUUAGCUAGUAAAUGGUUUUGCUACAUAUGAAACUUGGCACAAAAAUACAGGGAAAUAUUCUGGUUUGGUAUAAAAAGUUUCAAAGCAUUUGGGAGUGUUCAACUAUUUAUAAAAAAUGAUCAGGCCAAUUUAUUGGUUGUUGGUCCACUGUUAUAAUACCCAGGGGCAUUUUAAAUAUCUCCAAAAAUGUUUGUUAAUGCAUGAAAAUUAUGUAGUGAAAAAUUUGAACCUAAGGAACAUUUUAAUUUACUGUUUUAUAAAAUUAUUAUUUGACUUUGAUAUUUAUUAAGUGGCAAUUUGCAUAGUAAUUAUGAUGACAUGGCCACCAUUAGGGGGUGAUUACUGUAGCAUGACACUGGGUGUUACAAAUCUCCUCCACUACAAGAAAUCUCGUCCCGAGAUUUAAGAGGUGGAAUAAGGAGGAAAGUUCUGGCUACGAAAUUCCAACGGAUCUUCUCAUUGUUGGUUGCUCUUCUCGAAGAAGUUGAUCCUUUUCGUUUCUGUCUUUAUUUCUCGCUUCAUGGCAUCAUGACGAAGUUGUCAUUCUUCCUUCAAGAUCUCCAUCAUAUUUAUAUAAAAGAUAAGGGGGAAACUUCAAAAGAACAAAACUCUACACGGUUGCUUAUCUGGUAGAUAACACAGGGAAGGUGGAAGAGCGUAUCUCUUGAAUUGAAACUUAAGAAAGUAUCGAGAGCAAGGUAAGAAAGUGCCAUGAGAAGCUUCAAGUGGACAAGCAAUCGGUCGUUGCCUGAAACAGAGGAUGAAAGGGGUUCAGAGCAAUCAGAAAAAGUAUUGUGUCUGAUACUAGAGUAGAUCAUCUCUAGGAAGGUGGCUCGUGAAUUACAUAUGAAGCCAAUGUGAGGAAUAACUUUGGCAACAAGGGUGUACAUGAUAGUGGUCUUGAUCCUGUGGAACUGUGGGUUAUGGGCCCACCAUGUGGGUUAAAAGUAGAAAGAGUGGUGACACCUUGCACGGUCAUGGUAGCAAGGCAUGUCAAAGGAUAGCAUGUCAGUUAUGUUGGCAACAACGUUGGUACCAAGGGCGAGGGACGAAGAGAACCAUUUUCCGGCUCGCUGAAACGAGGAGGACCAAUAGGCAAAGUUCUCGUCCAUCGGUGGUUACCAGAAUGUCAUCAACAACAGUAACAGGGUCUUACUGACAGAGUUGUACACCAAGGUGUUUACAUAAGUAGGGAAAUAUUACUGCUUAUACCAUAUAGAUCACGAGAAGGGUUAAACAAAACAAUGGAAAGGAAAAUGUGAUUAUUAAUUUAAUCAGAUCAAUGGAAAGGAAAAUGUGUUUAAACACAAAUAUUAAGAGUAUAUCCUUCCCAAGGACAAGCAGAGGAUAACAUCCAUGAUAGGAUAGUAAGUAGAUUUCCAUUUAGCUAAAGGGGAGAGGAAAAUUCAUGACGUUACCCAUACAACAGUGUUUGGAUAAGUGAUCAAGAAACAUUUAGCAUUGCGCCUCCAAGCUUCUUAAUGAUGUUCGGAGUACCACAGUCAUGCUUCGGGAUAGCAUUGACAUGGUCAUCAGGUAAAGGCCGGACCUUGGGAACACAAAGGAUACAUCGGGAAUUACUAGAACACCUCAUGCAAUUUUAUUAGAAAAAAGAUGAGGAGGUGGCCGAUGGGUUCAGCAAAAAUCCAUCGACAUGUCAAAAAGGAUGUAUUUCCAAAAUUUAUAUGAACAAGUUUGUGUUGGCGGGGAGGCAAGAAUGUUGUCGAUGAUAACACAAAUCAUCGAGGGGCAAGGAUGGUAUUUCUCAUCAUGAAUUCGAUUGAUAUCCUGAACGAGCUCAGGAUGUUGAUGAUGAUCACGACACAUGUGUCAGGAGAUUUCAUGAAGAUGUAAUCGAUUGGCGAUGACAUCAAGUCAAAGGAAUUAUGUAGCAAAAGGUUAUUGGAACCACGAAUACGACACAAACUUGAAAUCAAGCUUGUUGUUCAAGGCGAAAAGAUAAGAUGAGGAAGAUCGACGUGAGCUUAGCUCAUCGUUAAAAAAAUGUGCUCCGAGAAGGACCGGGUAGCACAGUUGGAAUUUAGCACGAUAAUGAUAUAGCCGAUCAGGCUAGGAAUGACUUGAAGGAUUAUUAAACUCGUAAGCAACAAAAAUUACUUAGAGUUAUAUAAUCAGAGUGUGGAAUCGAUUCACUUAUCGGCGUUCUCAAGUGACUAACAACUCAAAACCCUGGGAAAUCUGAAAUCGAUGAGAAGCAAUACCAGAUGAAGACUCGUAGGAAGCAACACGGUUCUUUGUUAUUCUCGAGAUACUGGAGAGCAAUACUCGAAGGAAGAUCAAAAUAGAGGUUGCGGAGAUGCAUUGAUCCGUAGAAGAGAAGUGCUUUAACUUGUCCGACAAAUGGAAUCAAAGAAAAACAAUCAUGGUCGGAACCACGGUUGCAAAGGACCAAGCAUAGAUAAAAGAUGAAGUUAUAACAAGGGGAAUACUAUUAUUACAAGAAGCUUCAUGAUAAGUUCCACAUCGGGUCCAUGGGCAUGAACACAAAGUUCAAGGUCGACUCCCACUUCUACAAUGCAUAACCUUUCAUUCACUCCUCAUUUUUGAAGAAUUUUUAGUGAGAAAGAUUAAUCCGGUGAAGCACCAGAAGAGGAUGACUCGCAUCUCUUUCGAGUUCACACUGAUUAGGGAAGGCAUAUAUUCAACCCGUAGGGGUUAUCUUAGGAACAUAUACCACUAACUUAUAGAGCAUAUAACAUCAGCUCAAUAGCAAAGCAUGGUUGACAAUAAGCAAAGGAUACAAUUUACCGAAGGCAAUAUGUAUCAGGGGAAGAGCGCAUGAGAUGUUGAAUAAGAAGGACAUUGCCGGAUAAUAAUCCAACAAGGAAUCUUAUGGUCUACAACGGAGCUGAUGCGAGUAUGGGUACUCUAUCAGAGGAAGAAAGAAUGCAAGGAGAUCAUAUUAUAGAAACAACUGACUAACUCAAAGCUCAGUUGCAAAGGAAUUAUGAAUUCCAAGACAAGGGAUCAGAAGCAAUGCUCUGAUUAGGGAUGGAUAGGUAGAAUAGCCUUAGGGAUACAAUCGAUGGCGAUUUGAUUGGUCGAGAUCCAGCACCUGUUAAAAUGACGUCUGAGCCGGAAGGAUGAAUUCUAGGAUUUGAUUGAGGAUUGUGAGCAUUCACAACAAAUUGUAUCAACGGACUCAAAAUGAUAAAUACAAAGGAUGAAAAUAGAUUACUAGACUUAUGGUAUUAACCAUAAUGCAAGCAAGCAAGAAAUUCAAGAACAAUAGGUUGUUGAGGAUUUUCACAAGAACGAAUGGUAUUACGAAGACUUUUGUGAAGUACAAGAAUCAACUAAGGAUGCGCGGAUACUCGAUAGGUGCACAAAGUUAUCCAUAUGGGUAUUCAGGUGACAAGGAACUGCAAGGCAGUAAGCUCAAGGGAUUCUCGGAACAACGGAGAGCAGUUCCGGGCAUCUUGUAAUAACAAGAUCAAUGGGAUAGAAUGGAAGAUUGGCAAGGGUGUGUAGUUAUCCAUAAGGAUAUUUCGGUGGUAGGGAAUUGCAAAGGCAACAGGCACAAUGUCUCGCGAGAAUAUUGUAGAGUAUCUUCGGAAUCUUCUGAUGCAGCAGGCGAUCAUCUGAAAUAAGGGGCUCUCCGGGCGAAUGUGAUCACGAGAUCCUAAUGUUCGAGUUAGUAAAACCAUUUAACUGGAAUAGAAGAGAGAUCAGAGUCCCAGAUUAUAGACGAGGAGUAAAAAAUCAUAAUACCACCCAAUGGCAACGUGGGCCCGUAGGCCACACAGCCAUGUUAGUAAAAGUAUUUUGUAGUAACUAGACUCGACUUCGAUCAAGGAGUUAGAAAGGGGGCUACCUACAGGAAACCGGCUCUGAUACCAACUUGUGACGCCCCUAAUUAAAUCAUACACUAAUCAUACACACAAAUGUGUACGAUCAAGAUCAGGGACUCAUGGGAAGAUAUCACAACACAACUCUAGACACAAAUUAAAAAUAAUACAUGCUUUAUAUUACAAGUCAGGGCCUCGAGGGCUCGAAUACAUCAGCUCGAAAACACAAGAGUCAACGAAAGCAACAAUAUCUGAGUACAGACAUAAGUUAGACAAGUUUGCCUUAAGAAGGCUAGCACAAAAGCAACAUCGAUUGAAAAGGCAAGGCCUCGUGCCUGGGAGCCUCCUAACUACUCCUAGUCGUCGGUGGCCUCCACGUAGUAGUAAGCGCCCUCGGGGUAGUUGUAGUUGUCGGUGGUGGUGUCUGGAUCCGGGGCUCCACUAUCCGGUUGCAACAUCCGAGAAAAACGGAAAAGGUGGAAAAGAGGGGAGCAAAGCAACCGUGAGUACUCAUCCAAAGUACUCGCAAGCAAGAAUCUACACUACAUAUGCAUCGGUGCCAAUGAAAUGGGUAGUAUAUGUGGACUGAACUGCGGAAUUCCAGAAGAGAAGGGGAAAGCCUAGCCUAUCGUAGACUAGCAUCUUCAAGAAGCUCCAGGCAUCCUGUAGCAUCGAAAGAGAUAAGAGUAGCAUAAAGUAAAGUAGUAGUAGUGUAUUAACCUCGGCCAGAGAUCCUUUCUCGACUCCCUGCGAGAAAGCAAUCCCAGAGCCAUACUAUCCAUUUCUCAUCUCAAGUAUCCAGUUCUAGUUGUAUCGAUCGGGAUACAACUCCAAGUGUCCGUUACUGUAGGACAGGCUAUCGAUAGAUGUUUUCUUCCCUGCAGGGGUGCACCAACUUACCCACCACGCUCGAUUAACUCCGGCCGGACACACUUUCCUGGGUCAUGCCCGGUCUCGGGCAAACAAUACGCCGCAACCCGACCUAGGCUUAAAAGAGAGGUCAAGCACGCCGGACUAAACCUAUGCCCCCAGGGGUCUUGGGCCAUCGCCCUAGGAACUCCUGUACGUUGCGUGGGCGGCUGGUGAGCAGACCUAACUACCUCCUUAAAAAGGCAGGAGCUUACUAGUCCAACCCAGCGCGCGCCGCUCAGUCACUGACGUCUAAUAAGCUUCGGCUGAUGUAUACGACGCAGAACGCCCAUCUAUGCCCAUGUGAUGGUUAGUGCUAUCAGGCCAGCGGCCCCUCAGAUCAAAUAUCCAAACCGUUAGUGUCUUGGUAGUGCGGUCACGAGCAGAGACAAACGAAAGAUGUGACCAUGUCGCCCCGUCUCGAGUACUUGUGACAAGGGCAAAGAAUGCCCGGCCACGCCUCGUAAGUGUCUCGCAGGCACCUUCCAGGUCAACCCGACUCCACAUCACUCGCUAUUAAGCUCGCGCGGGUACCCCUCAGGGCCGACCCAUCUUUAGUAACAUGGUUCAGUGUAAAGUCAUAGUAACCAUAAUAACUGUGUGUCUAACACCAAGGGGAAAACCCGAGGAAUCACCCCCGGUGAAUUCCACUUGAUGUAAUCAUCAAGGUGAACGUAAGAGGAUCCACCCUCGAGGUUCACACUUGAGGGGUUGCACGACAGAGCCGUAUCGGAAGUGGUUAAGGAGGAAAUCACCCUCGAUGGCCAUGACCGAAUAGCUACACUACAAGGUUAACAUCGGAAGUGCUGAUGAGGUCUCACCCUCGGCACUCGAGAGUAACCCAGUAGUGUCAAGCAACUAAAGGAAAGUGAUGUGCGGUGCCGGGGCCUGGUCUUCGAUCCCGUUGAUCGGGUCUGCUGAUAAUCCAGCGGGGCAGUCGGGACAAAGUGGGGGUCUCUGAUGGGUCUCUACCUAGCCUAUACUAAACAGUAUAGGAUAAGCAAGUAGGUAACAACAAGUUACAAUAAACAGGCUAUGCAUCAGAAUAGGAGCAAACAAUAACAAUAGCAAAAUCUAAUGCAAGCAUGAGAGAAUGGAAUGGGUGAUAUCGGGAUGAUCAAAGGGGAGGCUUGCCUGGAAGCUCCGACGAAAGGGGAGAAGGGUCGUCGUCGAAGUAGUCGAUCACAGGGACAUCAACAGCGGUCUCGGGGUCUACCGGGGAGAAGAAGAAGGGGAAGAAACAAUGAAUACAGAGCAAACAAGAUCAAUACUAUGCAUGAAAAGACAAAAAGCAAUGCUAGGGGUGUUCUAAUGCAGUACUACACGAUACCGACAAAGGGAGGAAACAUCCGGAAAAGUUUUCCCAAAGUUUGGCAUUUUUGGACAGAUGAAACGAAGGUGGACGGUUGCAGGUUCGCUAUGCUAGAGACGUGUGGCAGACGAACGGGCUGUGUAUUCAGAUUCGUCUCGUCGUUCUGAGCAACUUUCAUAUAUAAACCUUUUUCAUCCGAGCUACGGAUUAUUUUUUAUUAUUUUUCAAUGAUUUACUAAUAUUCUAGAAUUUUUGGAAUUAUUAUAUUUAAUUAAUUCGAAUUGACCAAGUCAACUUGACUAGUCAAAAGGGCAGGUGUGGCCCACAUGUCAUAUACUAUUCACCUAAACAAAUAAAUAAACCUAACUUAUUAAAGGGGGCCUACAUGUCACCUACUAAUAAACUAACUUAAAACUAAACUAGUACUACUAUUAAGCCUAGCCUAAUUAAACCAGGGGCCGGCCGGCGGCAUAGCCAGCCGUGUUUGUACUCACGCACGUACACACUACACACGCACAAUGGCCAUGGCCAUGGCCACAAUCAGUGCAGACGCAUGAGCAAGUAGCAGCAGCAGCACUAGCUAGUGGGAUAGGAGGAGCGGCAGCAGCACUUAACAGCAGC
rnacentral:lncRNA from 1 species